rnacentral:rRNA from 1 species
UACAGAGGGUGCGAGCGUUAAUCGGAAUUACUGAGCGUAAAGCGCGCGUAGGCGGCUUUGCAAGUCGAGUGUGAAAUCCCCGGGCUUAACCUGGGAAUGGCGAUGGAGACUGCGAGGCUAGAGUUUGGCAGAGGGGGGUAGAAUUCCACGUGUAGCAGUGAAAUGCGUAGAGAUGUGGAGGAACACCGAUGGCGAAGGCAGCCCCCUGGGUCAAAACUGACGCUCUUGCACGAAAGCGUGGGGAGCAAACAGG